AACGAACGCUGGCGGCGUGGUUGAUACAUGCAAGUCGAACGGGAAACAGUCCUUCGGGGCUGGAGUACAGUGGCGGACGGGUGAGUAACGUAUGAUCAAUCUGCCCUCAAGACUAGGAUAGCCGUCCGAAAGGACGGGUAAUACUGGAUAAGCCCACAACGAGGCAUCUCGCAGUGGGAAAAGGAUUGGGAUCUUCGGACCUUUCGCUUGAGGAUGAGAUCAUAACCUAUCAGUUAGUUGGCGGGGUAACGGCCCACCAAGACGACGACGGGUAGCCGGCCUGAGAGGGUGGACGGCCACACUGGAACUGAGACACGGUCCAGACUCCUACGGGAGGCAGCAGUGCUGAAUUAUUCGCCAAUGCGCGAAAGCGUGACGGUGCGACGCCGCGUGCGGGACGAAGGCCUUCGGGUUGUAAACCGCUGUCAGGGAUUAGAAAACCGGUGCAGUUAACAGCUGUAUCGCUGAUCAGUCCCAAAGGAAGCACAGGCUAAUCUCGUGCCAGCCGCCGCGGUAACAC
rnacentral:rRNA from 1 species